CGCUCCUCAAGAUGAAGCUCAUUAACUUUCUUACUCCUCGAGCUCCCACUUGUUCUUGGAUGCUUGUGUUUUCUUGUUACAAGUGCUUCAUCUUGAAUAGAAGGCAGUGAUAUGCUGAAGUUCCUAAGGGUUUAGUGAGUAAAUCCACGAGCUGCUCUUUUGAGUAUUACGGGUAAAUGAGGCAUUAUCUGGAAGUCUCGAAUGAGGAGAUCAGUGACGACCCGAGAAAAAUGUAAAAGCCUGUUAGAGAUUUACGAGUCAUCGGGCAUGAUGCCUAGUCCGAGUCACAAAAGGCUUGGACUUUGAAGUCAUUUCUUCUUGCAAAGAAGAGGCCUUAUCCCAGAUAUUGCUUUAGGUAUCUGACGACAUGGAGCACGGCAUCGAGAUGCGGUUAUCUAGGCUGUUGCAUGAACUGACUUAAAUAUUGGGUAGAGUAGGAUAUAUCGGGUCUGGUGAAGUUGAGGUAGAGCAAACAUUUGAUUAAACGCCUAUACCUCUCCAGAUCUGGUAAAAUUUCUUCUUCUUCUGUAUUUAAUUUUAGUCCGGAAGGUAAGGGUAAAUGACUUCCUUUUGCAUCCUCCAUUCUUGUAUCCUGUAAAAUAUCGUUGAUAUAUUUUCUUUUUUUGAUGUAGAUGCCUUCCUUCGACCUGGCUAUUUCGACCGCCAAGAAAAUAUCGUGCUUGUCCGAGAUCCUUUACUGUGAAAGCUUCAUCAAGGGCAUAUUGAACUUUGUGGAUUUCUCUUUCAUUAGGACCUAUAAUGAUGAGGUGGACAUGAGGAAGGGGAGUUCGGGUGCAGGUGGCUCGGUGACAUGAGCAACAAAGUCUUCCAUCCAGAUAGGCUUGCUUCUCACAUUGGUACUCCUCCUAAUUUUGGGCUCUUGUGGUGUAAUGUCAGAGCAACUUUCAUCGACCUCACGCAGGUCUAAUGUUGUUUGAAUCGAGCAACUUUGUUAUAAGUAACACACCUGAGUUUUCAUUGGCUCUACUGUAGUGUGGAUGGUUUGAAUCAAACGAAUCGAGUGUAUUUUCACGCAAUAAGG